GAGUUUGAUCCUGGCUCAGAUUGAACGCUGGCGGUAUGCUUAACACAUGCAAGUCGAACGGUAGCAGGCCUUUGGGCGCUGACGAGUGGCGGACGGGUGAGUAACGCGUAGGAAUCUGCCUCAUAGUGGGGGACAACGUGGGGAAACUCACGCUAAUACCGCAUACGCCCUACGGGGGAAAGCGGGGGACCUUCGGGCCUCGCGCUAUGAGAUGAGCCUGCGUUAGAUUAGCUAGUUGGUAGGGUAAAGGCCUACCAAGGCGACGAUCUAUAGCUGGUCUGAGAGGACGAUCAGCCACACUGGGACUGAGACACGGCCCAGACUCCUACGGGAGGCAGCAGUGGGGAAUAUUGGACAAUGGGCGCAAGCCUGAUCCAGCAAUACCGCGUGUGUGAAGAAGGCCCUAGGGUUGUAAAGCACUUUCAAUGGGGAGGAAAACAGUCAGAUUAAUACCCUGGCUCUUGACAUUACCUUUAGAAGAAGCACCGGCUAACUCCGUGCCAGCAGCCGCGGUAAUACGGAGGGUGCGAGCGUUAAUCGGAAUUACUGGGCGUAAAGCGUGCGUAGGCGGUUCGUUAAGUCAGAUGUGAAAGCCCCGGGCUUAACCUGGGAACUGCAUUUGAAACUGGCGAACUAGAGUUUAAUAGAGGGGAGUGGAAUUUC
rnacentral:rRNA from 1 species